GCUGAUGUAGCUCAAUAGGUAAGAGCACACCUUUGGUAAAGGUGAGGUAUCCAGUUCAAUUCUGGACAUCAGCG
rnacentral:tRNA from 1 species